CCUCUUGCCAGGCUGCACUGAUGGAAGUACUAUGGGAGAAAGGAGUGCCAUAUCUGGGCGGCAAUAGCAGGAGGCUCCACAGGGCAGGCUGGCUCUCCCUCAACCAAGGGGCCUCAGCCCACCAGGGCCUAGAGAGUCAAAGAAGUGUAUCUGAGGCAACAAAAAACUCUGAACUAAUCAGAUCUGCAUUUGAGUCUCAUCUCUGCCAUUUACUAGUUGAGUCACCUUGGGCAAAUCAUCUCUCUGAGCCUCCCUUACUUACCUCAUUCAUGAAAUAGGAGGUGUCAGCAGAGCUCCAGCAGAUGAACGCGGUUUCUACUAUCUCAGAGGCGAAAAGGACUGGAAUAUCUGGAUUCCAAGGAGAGAGGGAAGGAGAGCCCAAAGCAUGCCUGACUUGAUACUAGGAAGCCUUGACUGCUUUGUGGAAAUGACCUCUGUCAUUUGAGCCAUCACUGAGGACUGGGUGUGUGAGUGACUCAGAUCCUCCCAUCAAACUCUGAAGGGGGUAACCCCAGAAAGGGUCUGUGGUGGUCUUUGAAGAGAAAAACUCCUUUUCUUGGAUUGAUGACAAAUUAAUUUCUCUGAAA